rnacentral:rRNA from 1 species
ACGCUCGACACCUACGGGAGGUAGCAGUUGGGAAUAUUGGACAAUGGAGGAAACUCUGAUCCAGUGACGCCGCGUGAAGGAAGAAGGUCUUCGGAUUGUAAACUUAUUUUGUCAGGGAAGAAAAAUGACUGUACCUGAAGAAAAAGCACCGGCUAACUACGUGCCGGCAGCCGCAAGUAAUCUGAGGCGGGCGUGGACAAGGC